UGGAGAGUUUGAUCCUGGCUCAGGACGAACGCUGGCGGCGUGCUUAACACAUGCAAGUCGAACGGAAAGGCCCUUCGGGGUACUCGAGUGGCGAACGGGUGAGUAACACGUGGGUGAUCUGCCCUGCACUUUGGGAUAAGCCUGGGAAACUGGGUCUAAUACCGAAUAUGACCACGCGCUUCAUGGUGUGUGGUGGAAAGCUUUUGCGGUGUGGGAUGGGCCCGCGGCCUAUCAGCUUGUUGGUGGGGUAAUGGCCUACCAAGGCGACGACGGGUAGCCGGCCUGAGAGGGUGACCGGCCACACUGGGACUGAGAUACGGCCCAGACUCCUACGGGAGGCAGCAGUGGGGAAUAUUGCACAAUGGGCGCAAGCCUGAUGCAGCGACGCCGCGUGAGGGAUGACGGCCUUCGGGUUGUAAACCUCUUUCAAUAGGGACGAAGCGCAAGUGACGGUACCUAUAGAAGAAGGACCGGCCGACUACGUGCCAGCAGCCGCGGUA
rnacentral:rRNA from 1 species